UACGUAGGACCCGAGCGUUGUCCGGAUUUACUGGGUAUAAAGGGUGCGCAGGCGGCCGUGUGCGUCAGAGGUGAAAUAUCCGGGCUUAACCCGGAGGGUGCCUUUGAUACGGCAUGGCUUGAGUUCGAGAGAGGGUGAUGGAAUUCCUGGUGUAGCAGUGAAAUGCGUAGAUAUCAGGAGGAACACCGGUGGCGAAGGCGGUCACCUGGCUCGACACUGACGCUCAGGCACGAAAGCGCGGGGAUCAAACAGGAUUAGAUACCCUAGUAGUCC
rnacentral:rRNA from 1 species